GAUGAACGCUGGCGGCGUGCCUAAUACAUGCAAGUCGAGCGAACAGACGAUGAGCUUGCUCCUCUGACGUUAGCGGCGGACGGGUGAGUAACACGUGUAUAACCUACCUAUAAGACUGGGAUAACUUCGGGAAACCGGAACUAAUACCGGAUAAUAUAUUGAACCGCAUGGUUCAAUAGUGAAAUACGGUUUUGCUGUCACUUAUAGAUGGAUCCGCGCCGGAUUAGCUAGUUGGUAAGGUAACGGCUUACCAAGGCAACGAUGCGUAGCCGACCUGAGAGGGUGAUCGGCCACACUGGAACUGAGACACGGUACAGAGUCCUACGGGAGGCAGCAGUAGGGAAUCUUCCGCAAUGGGCGGAAGCCUGACGGAGCAACGCCGCGUGAGUGAUGAAGGUCUUCGGAUCGUAAAACUCUGUUAUUAGGGAAGAACACAUGUGUAAGUAACUAUGCACGUCUUGACGGUACCUGAUCAGAAAGCCACGGCUAACUACGUG
rnacentral:rRNA from 1 species